rnacentral:lncRNA from 1 species
GCUUAAUCAAAUUAAGCCAAUUAGCAAUCGAAUUGCUAAUCAAUCCUCCUGCAACACUUGCACUGGGUUAAAUGUCAAUCGUAUUGAUCAUUUAACCCUGGAACGAUUCUUAAUCGUUGAUCAACCAUCCGAUCGGAUCAUGAACUCUAAUGUGUGUGACCUCAUAGGUCCGAACCUAAGCCGGUAGCAUAGGAAUAAAUUCUUAAACCAAUCGAAGUGACCAUCUAGCAAUGGUACCCGACGA